rnacentral:rRNA from 1 species
CACGUAGGCACCAAGCGUUGUCCGGAUUUAUUGGGCGUAAAGAGCUCGUAGGCGGUUCAGUAAGUCAGGUGUGAAAUCUUUGGGCUUAACCCAAAGCGUGCACUUGAUACUGCUGUGACUUGAGUUCGGUAGGGGAGUGGGGAAUUCCUAGUGUAGCGGUGAAAUGCGCAGAUAUUAGGAGGAACACCGGUGGCGAAGGCGCCACUCUGGGCCGAAACUGACGCUGAGACGCGAAAGCGUGGGGAGCGAACAGG